UCUCCUUUCAAGAAAGCAUAAACACUGGCGAUUCUAACGGCAAGAAGGAUGGAGAAGCCCUGGGGACUUUCAUUCACGCUUCUAUUCCUUCAGCUGAACUUGGCAAGUGGCCAAGGAAAGCAUCCAGUGCAGAGUCCUUCAAUCCUGAAUGUCUGGGAGGGAGAAACAGCCGUUAUCAACUGCAGCUAUACAGAUGGAGCAUCAAAUUAUUUCCCAUGGUACAAGAAGGAAGAACGGAAAGGCCCUGCUCUUCUAGUAGAUAUUCGUUCAAAUGUGAACAACAAACAGGAUGGAAGAUUCUCAGUCAUGCUGAACAAAAACGCUAAACACGUCUCCCUGCACAUCUCAGGCACCCGACAAGAAGACUCAGCUACCUACUUCUGUGCAGAGAACACACAGUGCUCUACAGACACCUGCAGCCCGUGCCCAAACCUGCUGCUGGGGCUCUAGUUGUCUUCUUGGUCUUUGACCAGGUGUUGGGUUAUGAUGGUUUGCUAUAUUAUAUAUUUUUUCCAAGUUGAAGUGAAUGCAGAGAUCUGAUGUUUACAACUGUAAAAAAUGAGUUUAAUAUAUAAUUUAAUAUAAACUGGGAUAACUUUGUUAGAAAAUCAACGUGUACUUGUUAUGGAUAAUUUUGGAAAUACAACAGAAAAUUAAAAUUGGUAAAAAUUCUAUGCAAAAAUAAACAUUUAGUAU